AUCAUUGACACUCUCCAGGCAGUUGUUUAAAAGAUGGCAAGAGCUGCCCAUCGAGAGCAACUAGAGAUUACUAUGGAUUAUGCAAAUCUGCCUGAUGUGUCAGCCAGAAGUCGCUCUAAUAAACACAGUCAAGGGGCUCCUGCUGCACCAGGGAGAAAACUAUUCAGACUGGUUGCUGUUAGCUUUGGACUCCUGUGUAUCCUCCAAGCUGCCGUCAACAUCUCCCUGCGUCUUGCUUUCUACAAUAACACAUCAUGUAUUAAGACAGAGGAGGCAGAAGAGCUGAAAAACC
rnacentral:lncRNA from 1 species